rnacentral:tRNA from 1 species
GGAUCAGACUGUAAAUCUGACGCGUAAGCUUCGGUGGUUCGAAUCCACCUCCCACCACCA